rnacentral:rRNA from 1 species
UACGUAGGGGGCAAGCGUUAUCCGGAUUUACUGGGUGUAAAGGGAGCGUAGGCGGUGCAGCAAGUCAGAAGUGAAAGCCCGGGGCUCAACUCCGGGACUGCUUUUGAAACUGUUGAACUAGAUUGCAGGAGAGGUAAGUGGAAUUCCUAGUGUAGCGGUGAAAUGCGUAGAUAUUAGGAGGAACACCAGUGGCGAAGGCGGCUUACUGGACUGUAAAUGAUGCUGAGGCUCGAAAGCGUGGGGAGCAAACAGG